GUUUCUGGUUGCGGGACAUCACCGUGUUGUUGUGUUUUGUCGAGUGAAAACUGCGGUUCUGGUCCUGCUGGGCUCCAAGUCUGAGCUUCUGCUGCAGCCACAGCAUCUUCUCCAUCCGCAUCCUGAGAGUGGAGGACGGCGAGCCGCCACCAGUCCACGCCGUCAGCGCGUUGUGUCUGUGCCACCUGGCAGGCUCUGAGCGCAGCUCCAGGACCCAGAACAAAGGAGAGGACCUGAAGGAGGCUGGAAACAUCAACGCCUCGCUGCUCAUUCUGGGCAAAUGCAUCAAGGCUCUGCAGCACAACCAGCACACCAGGCUCCUGCAGCACGUCCCAUUAAGGGAGAGCAAGCUGACCCACUACCUGCAGGGCUUCUUCUGCAGCAGCAGCAAGGCCUGCAUGGUGGUCAACGUCAGCCAGUGUGCCUCCAUGUACGACGAGACCCUCAACGUCCUCAAGUUGUUGAGCCUUAAGUUCUGAUAUCCAGUUAGAACAUCAGUUCACUCCCAAACAUUUAGCACUGCUGUCUUUGUAAAAUGAACUGAGCAGCAAUCUAAUCACAACGGGGAAGCAGCCAUUAUGUUUUUGACUCAGACGAUUCAUCAGCCUACCUUCCCUAAGAUCACCGCUGCAUGACUGAAGAACUUCCCCUGGAGCCGCAGCACCAGAGCGCUCUGAGGUCUCGGUAGAGCCGCUUGAUGUAGUCAGGAUCCAGCAGAGUGAACGCUGGACUUGCUUUGGCUUGAACGGACAUCAGCCUCCAUGAAUACCAGGUCAUCCAUGUUGCUGUUCAUUAACACCGUGCUAACUUUUCCACUGUGGAGGCUCGCCUUGGUACAUUCACAUAGCAGAGCCGUCCGCACCAAGUGACGACCCAAGAUGGUUUAAAAUGUCCUGGUAAGUUCUAAGAGGCCACUUCUUCAUGUCAUCCUCUCAGUCAUGAAUAGUUUAAGGCUGCGGCGCUGACCUGCCACUUCCAUCGCUCUGCAAUUAUUGGAAAUGUUGCUGCAACAGUUUAUCAUUUCAGUCAAGCUGAUGUUAUUUGGCCGAGGGAAGCGCUGAAACGGAAGUGGAGCACAAAAAAAACAGAAGUUGGACCCAGAGUUACUUCCUUGUUCAAAAAUAAGGUGGAUAGAACAGAGAGAAAUGUGAAAGGUAGUUUGUUGGCUUUGUUUCAGGUGGAGGUUGUGAUCUCCAGGCUCCUCCCCGUCGUUCCUCCUGCUUCCUGCAGCAGGAAGACGCUGCAGAGCAGCAGCAGCUCCCUGACCGGCUGGGAAGCCAGUCUGGAAGACCUUCAGCAGGGUGAAGACCAAGACUCCAGUCUGAUGGAGGACAGCAUGGAGGAGACGGCUGACAAGGUGAAGAAGUCGUCAUUAAUAAGAGGCUUCACCAGGUCAGUGGUUUUAGCUGCUCCACAUUUCUCCUGACAUGAAUCCACCUGCUGGGUUUCCUGCUGGAGGCGGCGCCACGUUUACCUUCAUUCUGACGUCAGAACCGCAGCUUCGUCCCUCCUCCUCUUCAUCAGCUGCUGCUGCAGAUUUCUGCAGGAAACCAAGCAGCUUGUGGUCGGCUCUGCAUGUCCAGGAAGCGGUCCGAUAAAAGCCCGUCUCUAGUUCCUAGGCUGGGCUUUUCCUGCUGGACCCGAUGGAUGGAAAGAGAUUUUGGACCUGACCUUGAACCUUGACCUUUGGCCUCAGACUUCCCUGACCUGAUGAGACCGUCAGAGAGCAGUUCUGAUUGGCUGUCAGUGAAGCUCUGUAAACAUAUUGACUUGAUCUACUUUAGUCCUCUUUCUAUUAAAUACUGACGUAAAUCUAUCUGCAGCCAGUUGAGUUUCAUCUUUUUCUGCCGGAUUUGAUCCACCAGACAAACUGUUUCUGUCUCCUGAUUUAUGGACUGAUAGAAAGAAGCUAUUUAGUGCCUGACAUCACAGCAUUGUGAAAUGACACAAUGUGUUUCUUAGGUAGAACUUUUGCUUACUAACCAGAAGCUUCUAGUAACUCUGGUUGACAUUGACAAAUGUCACAAUGCUCCUGUAUUUGUCAAAAUUCACCUGUAAAAAA